rnacentral:ncRNA from 1 species
AAGCAAAGAUAAAAACGCAACGCGUGCAUAAACACACGCCAGAGCCGGUAGGUAGCCCGGCCGUCAUAGAGAAAUCUGUGGUAAGUAACCUGCCCCUCCGGGUUGUCCGUUCUUUGCUCAU